rnacentral:rRNA from 1 species
GACGAACGCUGGCGGCGUGCUUAACACAUGCAAGUCGAACGAUGAAGCCUAGCUUGCUAGGUGGAUUAGUGGCGAACGGGUGAGUAAUACGUGAGUAACCUACCUUUAACUCUGGGAUAAGCCUGGGAAACUGGGUCUAAUACCGGAUACGACCAAUCUCCGCAUGGGGUGUUGGUGGAAAGCGUUAUGUAGUGGUUAUAGAUGGGCUCACGGCCUAUCAGCUUGUUGGUGAGGUAACGGCUCUCCAAGGCGACGACGGGUAGCCGGCCUGAGAGGGUGACCGGCCACACUGGGACUGAGACACGGCCCAGACUCCUACGGGAGGCAGCAGUGGGGAAUAUUGCACAAUGGGCGCAAGCCUGAUGCAGCGACGCCGCGUGAGGGAUGACGGCCUUCGGGUUGUAAACCUCUGUUAGCAGGGAAGAAGAGAGAUUGACGGUACCUGCAGAGAAAGCGCCGGCUAACUACGUG